CCAUCCCGGCYUACCAACCCGAUGCAAACUGCGAAUACCGAAGAAUGGUAUCACGGGAGACACACGGCGGGUGCUAACGUCCGUCGUGAAGAGGGAAACAACCCAGACCGCCAGCUAAGGUCCCGAAGUCAUGGUUAAGUGGGAAACGAUGUGGGAAGGCCCAGACAGCCAGGAUGUUGGCUUAGAAGCAGCCAUCAUUGAAAGAAAGCGUAAUAGCUCACUGGUCGAGUCGGCCUGCGCGGAAGAUGUAACGGGGCUAAACCAUGCACCGAAGCUGCGGCAUUCAGAGGACAGAUUUCAGACGACAGAGGACGGAUUAAUGUCAUAUGGAUUCGAGCAAUUGGAAGUGUUUAAGAAAGCUUACCGAAUUUCAUUAGAGAUUCAUCAGGCGAGUUUGGCAUUUCCUCGGUACGAACAAUAUGGAUUAGCAGACCAAGUAAGGCGGGCAAGUAAGGGCAUUUGUGCCAAUCUUGCCGAGGGCUUUGGUAAGCAACAUUAUUCCAAACCUGAGUUUAGACGUUUCAUUAGUAUAGCCUUAGGGAGUGCUGAUGAGAUGCGUGUCUGGUUAAGAUACUGUCUGGAUUUAGGUUAUAUUACUGCGGUUCAGUGGCAGGAAUGGCGUGACAGCUAUGAAGAGAUAGCGAAAAUGCUGACCGGACUGGGACGUCAUCUGUAAGCUGUAUUCUGACGUCUGUUCUCUGGAUGGGUAGGGGAGCGUUCUGUAAGCCGUUGAAGGUGGCGCUGUGAGGCCCGCUGGAGGUAUCAGAAGUGCGAAUGCUGACAUAAGUAACGAUAAAGCGGGUGAAAAACCCGCUCGCCGGAAGACCAAGGGUUCCUGUCCAACGUUAAUCGGGGCAGGGUGAGUCGACCCCUAAGGCGAGGCCGAACGGCGUAGCUGAUGGGAAACAGGUUAAUAUUCCUGUACUGAAUGUGACUGCGAAGGGGGGACGGAGAAGGCUAGGCCAUCCGGGCGACGGUCGUCCCGGUUUAAGCGUGUAGAUGGGAGGAGCAGGCAAAUCCGCUCUUCUUUAACACUGAGGCGUGAUGACGAGCUGCUACGGCAGUGAAGUGGUUGAUGCCCGGCUUCCAGGAAAAGCCUCUAAGCGUCAGGUCAUAUUGAAUCGUACCCCAAACCGACACAGGUGGUCAGGUAGAGCAUACUCAGGCGCUUGAGAGAACUCGGGUGAAGGAACUAGGCAAAAUGGUGCCGUAACUUCGGGAGAAGGCACGCUGGCAGUAGGUGAAGGAGUUUGCCUCCGGAGCCGAAGCCAGUCGCAGAGACCAGCUGGCUGCAACUGUUUAUUAAAAACACAGCACUGUGCAAACACGUAAGUGGACGUAUACGGUGUGACGCCUGCCCGGUGCUGGAAGGUUAAUUGAUGGGUAUCC
rnacentral:rRNA from 1 species